rnacentral:rRNA from 1 species
UUGCUCUUCAACGAGGAAUGCCUAGUAAGCGCGUGUCAUCAGCAUGCGUUGAUUACGUCCCUGCCCUUUGUACACACCGCCCGUCGCUACUACCGAUUGAAUGGCUCAGUGAGGCCUUCGGACUGGCUUGGGGAGGUUGGCAACGACCACCCUAAGCCGGAAAGUUCGUCAAACUCGGUCAUUUAGAGGAAGUAAAAGUCGUAACAAGGUUUCCGUAGGUGAACCUGCGGAAGGAUCAUUACAUUCAGUAGCCUAGCUACUUGUUUAUACCCUUGUUUUUUGCGUACCUAUUGUUUCCUCGGUGGGCUUGCCUGCCGGUUGGACAACACUAUAACCUUUUUAAAUCUUCAAUCAGCGUCUGAAUUAUACAUAAUAAUUACAACUUUCAACAACGGAUCUCUUGGUUCUGGCAUCGAUGAAGAACGCAGCGAAAUGCGAUAAGUAGUGUGAAUUGCAGAAUUCAGUGAAUCAUCGAAUCUUUGAACGCACAUUGCGCCCCUUGGUAUUCCAUGGGGCAUGCCUGUUCGAGCGUCAUUUGUACCCUCAAGCUUUGCUUGGUGUUGGGCGUUUUGUCUUUUCACAAAGACUCGCCUCAAAGUAAUUGGCAGCCAGUGUUUUGGUAGUAAGCGCAGCACAUUUUGCGUCUUAGUCCCUUGACAGCGGCAUCCACAAAGCCUCUUUCUCACUUUUGACCUCGGAUCAGGUAGGGAUACCCGCUGAACUUAAGCAUAUCAAUAAGCGGAGGA